GACGAACCGUGCGAACGUUUAUCGGAAUCACUGGGCUUAAAGGGCGCGUAGGCGGUCUACAAAGUCGGGGGUGAAAUCUUUCGGCCCAACCGGAAAAGGGCCUUCGAUACUGGUAGACUCGAGCGAGGUAGGGGCGGAUGGAACUUCCGGUGGAGCGGUGAAAUGUGUUGAUAUCGGAAGGAACGCCGGUGGCGAAAGCGAUCCGCUGGACCUCUUCUGACGCUGAGGCGCGAACGCCAGGGGAGCAAACGGG
rnacentral:rRNA from 1 species